rnacentral:misc_RNA from 1 species
GAUGAAGAACGUAGCGAAAUGCGAUAAGUAAUGUGAAUUGCAGAAUUCAGUGAAUCAUCGAAUCUUUGAACGCACAUUGCGCCCGCUAGUAUUCUGGCGGACAUGCCUGUCCGAGCGUCAUUUCAACCCUCAAGCCCCCGGGCUUGGUGUUGGGGAUCGGCGAGCCUCCGCGCCCGCCGUCCCCUAAAUCUAGUGGCGGUCUCGCUGUAGCUUCCUCUGCGUAGUAGCACACCUCGCACUGGGAAACAGCGCGGCCACGCCGUUAAACCCCCAACUUCUGAACGUUUGACCUCGGAUCAGGUAGGAAUACCCGCUGAACUUAAGCAUAUCAAUAAGCGGAGGA